AGAGUGAACGCUGGCGGUAGGCCUAACACAUGCAAGUCGAACGGCAGCACAGUGGUAGCAAUACCAUGGGUGGCGAGUGGCGGACGGGUGAGGAAUACAUCGGAAUCUACCUUUUCGUGGGGGAUAACGUAGGGAAACUUACGCUAAUACCGCAUACGCCCUUCGGGGGAAAGCCGGGGAUCGCAAGACCUGGCGCGGAUAGAUGAGCCGAUGUCGGAUUAGCUAGUUGGUGAGGUAAUGGCUCACCAAGGCGACGAUCCGUAGCUGGUCUGGAGAGGAUGAUCAGCC
rnacentral:rRNA from 1 species